CUAGAAUCUAGUUCAGAAUAUAUUGUGCAUUGUUUAGACUACAAUAUAUUCCAAAAUAACUGCUUCAUUUUAAUUUUAUCACUAUCAUAUGCUAAUCACUAUGGUCAAGUCUGUAUUUAAGGUUAAGUUUUAAAUCGCUCUACUGUUCUUUGUAAAACCCUUCUGCCUUUUAAAAACAAAUUCUAUUUUUUCAAUCAAAGAUCUUCUAUCUGACCCUAAAAUCUAAAUCCAACCUUAAAUUGAAAAUGAGUAGCUACCUAAUUUCUGUUGAUACAUCAUAGUUUCCUGAGGGAAAAAUAGCCUGGAAAUUAUAAGUGUAACUCUAAAUUCAGCAAGAAACAGAAUUUACUUCCUAGUUGUUUUACCUUACCCAAGUGAUUUAACCUCUGUAAGCCUUUGUUCUCUGUUUUCUGAUGUUAAGGAACAUUUGGGGGUUUAAGUGACAUGCAGUAUUUAUCAGAAUUCUGGUGUAUGUAUGAUAAGAUGUCAAAAGUUGGCAACAAAAGUUCUAUAUUUUAUUCUUAGACUCCCUUUGCUCAUCUCUACUUGCAGGUUUCUUGCCGAUCUUGCUAGCUCUAAUUCAAAGAUCUCUUCUCUGAAGUGCUUUCUGUCCACCCCUACCUUCAGAAGGACUUUUUGAAAUACAUUGGCACAUGAGAGCCUCCUGGUGAAGAACUUCCAGACUGUUCCAGAUCUGUAAAUGAUUGUAGUCUUAGCCUUCCUGUUUCCAGAUCAACAGUGAGAGGUGUAACAAAGCCACAAAACAAGACAAAUAAUUUUCCAAGUACUUAUGGUCUGAAUGUUUGAGACAAGGAAGAUGAAUAGCCUAUGUGAUAAAGGGGGGGGGUGGCUAAGAGAAUCAAAAUAUUGAUAUCAUCACAGAAAGUUAAAAUAUUGAAACUUCUCCAGGGGAUUGCAUGGAUAAUUGUAUAGCGCUCUCUAUUGGCUGAGUAGAAUAUUGGGCUCUGGGGACCUGGAAAUGAUCCAGAUAUAGUCAAUACACGAAAAGAAAAGUCUUAUUUGCAUUCUUACUAUGUGAGAGAGCAGAAUUAAACCCACACCAAAAGCACUGAACAAAAAUAGCCUUUAUGAGGGCAGGGGCCAGAGUGGGGGGAUGGGGAGAGAGAGUUUGUGUUGUAUGUGUUUGGAGAAGGGAACAAAAUGUUGUGGAUAUUUUAGUAUCAAUUUAUUCCUCGUCACUUUACUGCCCUUCUCCCAUUUAACAGGUCUGGCUUCUGGGAACAUCUGUCUGAUUUAAAACUUAGCUCUAUGUGAAUGAUAUUUAGACAGGAAUAACCAAUUUCCAAAUAACAGCUGUAGUGCAAAUAGUGCAAUAGGGACAGGUAAUAUUUUAUCACUGCCUGUAGUUCACACUCAGUUCAUAAAAUUACUUUCUGUGGGAGCCAACCUCUUAAGUCAUUCGGACUCAAUAGUGCUACUCACUGGGCAAUCUUGAAAGAGCAGGGUUGAAUUAAUUAGGCAAUGGAAAAACCUAACUGGGAAUAAUGGGGUUCCUGUGUGCAUUUGGAUAGCUUUGAUAGGCAGCCCUUACAAGAGAACAGGAGCUCCAAUGUAAGCUUAGUGAGCCUGGGAGUCCAGGCCAGACAAAGCAAGCAUGAUCAUUGCUUUUCUAACCCAGG
ensembl:lncRNA